AACACUUCUUAAGGACAUCAUUAACUUUACUCGUACAAUGAUUUUUUUUCAAUAUUUUAUUUACUUUUUUUUUUAAAGAAUUUUUAAUUAAUAUUUAUCCUGUUUUUUUAGGUCUAAAAAAUACUAAAAAUUCAAAAAUUUGUAAAAAAUUUAACAUACUUAAAUCUUUAAUUCUGACGUUGUAUCAAUUUAGAGGACCCUUUUUUGUUAUCUUUUUAUUCAAUUUCAUGUAUUUCUGAUCAAUAGUUUUUACAAAAUUCCGACUUUUAAUUUGUAUACAAUAAACAAUAUGGCCGCCGUUACCAUGGCAACCAUCAUUCAAAAAACUUUUUUUUAGCAUUAUUUAUUUUAGAAUAUCAUUAUAUGUUACCAUAACAAAUUUCAAAGACCUAGCUUCAGAAAUAACAAAAAUAAGAUUUUCAGGGAUACCUCCCCUUAAGUAUCGUCUGUAUUUUAUAAGAUAAUUAUGAUAUGAGAGACUUAUAAUAGCUUUUUACAAAAAAUAAUGUUUAUAUAUUAAGGAAUUCGACCUUAACCAGAACGGAAAUGUCUCUCUACAAUACGAUUCUGCAGGCACACACACUAAAUACAAUGUCAUACGAGAUAAACCAUAGGUUCGAUUUAUACGUUCCAAGACUGAAGGAGGCUUACAACAACAAAGAAGCGAUAUUUUAAUAAGAGAUGAAGAUAAUUUACUUCCUAAUCCAAACCUCCUGCAAGAUGAUGGGGGUUGGCAGCAGGGAGGGUUUGAACCCAGGACAAUAGAGAUGAUUGAACAACAGUCCAGCUUGCACACCACGUGACCAGGCGGCCAUCCAAUUGUUAUCUUAGAAUGUAUAAAUUACUGAUGUUUCUAAUUAUAUACAUCAUUUUUGUUAAAUAAUAAAUAAAGAUUUUAGUUGUAUUAAGUAAUUGGUUAACCAGCUGAAUCAGGCAACCUAUUUUAUGCUAACUGGUUCUUGGAAAGAAGAUCUUAUUUUAAAUGAUUAUCUUAGCAUAGAGGAUAUUUCUACUGGAUAAAUAAAUAAAUGUGUACUAUU